GCCAUUUUGAAAAAUCCCGAAAAAUUCCCUUUUUUAAAACGAUGUUUGACAGACUUUGACUUGAAAUUAAACUGUUUUAAGUAGUAUUCUUCGCCAGAUAUAUGUUUAAAUAUACUUAAUCGAUUUGCAAAGUUUGAUUUUUAUGUACGGAAUUUCUUUAUUUGUUGUACAAGUAGACAUGGGUAUCGGUAAUUUAGCAUGGAGGCA
rnacentral:lncRNA from 1 species